rnacentral:rRNA from 1 species
UGUUUGAUGUUCUAACGUUGGCCCCUGAUCGGGGUUGCGGACAGUGUCUGGUGGGUAGUUUGACUGGGGCGGUCUCCUCCUAAAGAGUAACGGAGGAGCACGAAGGUUGGCUAAUCCUGGUCGGACAUCAGGAGGUUAGUGCAAUGGCAUAAGCCAGCUUGACUGCGAGCGUGACGGCGCGAGCAGGUGCGAAAGCAGGUCAUAGUGAUCCGGUGGUUCUGAAUGGAAGGGCCAUCGCUCAACGGAUAAAAGGUACUCCGGGGAUAACAGGCUGAUACCGCCCAAGAGUUCAUAUCGACGGCGGUGUUUGGCACCUCGAUGUCGGCUCAUCACAUCCUGGGGCUGAAGUAGGUCCCAAGGGUAUGGCUGUUCGCCAUUUAAAGUGGUACGCGAGCUGGGUUUAGAACGUCGUGAGACAGUUCGGUCCCUAUCUGCCGUGGGCGCUGGAGAACUGAGGGGGGCUGCUCCUAGUACGAGAGGACCGGAGUGGACGCAUCACUGGUGUUCGGGUUGUCAUGCCAAUGGCACUGCCCGGUAGCUAAAUGCGGAAGAGAUAAGUGCUGAAAGCAUCUAAGCACGAAACUUGCCCCGAGAUGAGUUCUCCCUGACUCCUUGAGAGUCCUGAAGGAACGUUGAAGACGACGACGUUGAUAGGCCGGGUGUGUAAGCGCAGCGAUGCGUUGAGCUAACCGGUACUAAUGAACCGUGAGG